GUACUCGCUUCGGCGCUACAUCUACUGGUGUUGGGGCGAUGCAGGAAGGAUUAUUGUGGCCCGUGCGCAAGGAUGACACGCUGGAUCUUGAGGCAUUCCAUAUUUUU